UAUAAAGUAGUUGUACAAAGAAUUUAAAAUUCCCAAAGUCAGGUUGAGUACAAUGCACCUUGAUCCAUGUCACCUCUUUUAUCAUUCUCCAUCCCUUCCCAUCCCUAUCCUCUAAUGAACAUAGUUAAGUUUUUAUAUACUGUACAUUGAAUAUAAUGACCACAUUUUCUUCCUUUAUUGCCCUCCCGCCAAAAACUUGUGCCCAUUUUCUGGUAUUUUGUUAAAACAGUUCGGUAGUUCUUAGACUCCUCUCUCUCCCCUAAGUAUACCAUCCUUUAGUCUGCAUUAUGCAUAAAACCAAGUAUAUCUCAAUGUGUGUUUUUAAUUUAGAUGUACCUUCUACAUCUGAGAGGAACAUAGUUUGUCUCUGAACCUGACAUUUUUUUUUCUAGGUCCAUCCAUUUUCUUGCAAAUGAUGUAUUUUUUCUGAUGAGUAAAAUUCUAUUGUAUAUUUGCCACAUUUUCUUAAUCCACAUAUCUGUUGUAGGGUAUCUGGGCUGUUUCCAUAACUUGGUUGUUGUGAAUAGUGCAGCAUCGAACAUAGAUGUGCACCUGUCUUUACCAUAUCCUGACUUGUAAUACUCUGGGUAGGUGCCCAAGAGUGUAUUGCUUGUUCCAUGUUUAGUUAUUUGAGAAAUCUCCAAACUACCUUUUCAGAGUGGUUACACUAGUUUAUAGUUCCACAAAUAGUGUGGUGGGGUUCUUUUUCUCCCUUAUCUCUGUCAGCAUUUGUAAUUGUAUUCUUGAUGCUGGCCAAAUCGCCAUGUUGUGGUGAGAAGCAUCUCAGUGUUGUUUUAACUUGCAUUUCCUUUAUGGCUAAGAAGGUUGAGCAUUACCUCAUAUGUUUAUUGAGAAGUAUUUGGCUCCUUUGCCCAUUUAUUAAUUAGAUUAUAGAUUUGGGAAGGGUUAGUGGUAUAUUCUGGAUAUUAGGACCUUGUCAGAUGUAUAGUUGGUAAGAUCUCUCAAUUCAGAGGCUCUUUUUAGCUUGUUAGCUAUGUUAAUAAUAAUGUUUUUUAAUCUGUUAGUACUUCAGUGAAUUCUCAAGAGAAAAGAAAUUCUAUAAGCACUUAUUACUAGCAUACGACGACUGCUACUCAAAAUAAAACAUAUGGGGGACUAGGCUUUUGCUUCCAAUUAUUAACAUACAGUGUUCUGUGCCUGGAAGCUUUGGUGAGAAACAGCUUGUAAUUGGCUUUUACAGAAUUGAUCCUGAACCUUAACAGUUCCCAAGUAGAAUUGGUUCUUUGUGGUAUAACUUUAUGAAAAUAUAUGUCAUUGUGCUGUAAAAUAGAACAAAUUCUAAAACCACCUUUGGGAGAAUUUUUGUAGCAGUUUCUUCAUGCAUAUCUUGUUUCAGAUGGCUAGUUUCAAGUGACUCAAUUAUUAAUUACAUUAGAUUUCAAAAUCAAAGUUUGAUUUUAGUCCAUUCUUGAGGAAUAUAAGUAUAUUUUCAACUGAAUGAAGUACUUGCAUAGCUUCAGCUUGUUGGGCUUCUUGAUAUUUAUGAAAAAAUUUGAAGUGCAAGUAUGGAACAAAAGGAGACUUAGCCCAUAAGUGACUGUGUUGUCAAUAAUUUGGAGGUAUACAAGAAAAUACUGAAGAUCGUGAUUGUUUCUUGUGUGUGUUGAAUAAAAAAGCAUUUUGUGAUAUGUAAAAGAUAUGUGAAGUUUUAGCUAUCUUUUAAACACCUUUCACACUUUGUUUUGACCUUUCUAGUCAAACUUAAUCAGGAAGAAAUUACUGUUCUUGAGGGGACAAAGGGUUUUUUCAUGUGCACUUUCUUCCCUCCCUCCUUUCCACCAUUUUCCUCUGUUGAGAUUAAUCUCCUUGGCUGUUAGAUUUUUUUUUUUCCAUACUGUAUUUUUAAAGUUUGUUGUAUGGUGCCCUGUGAGCAUCAAGUAAGUACUGCCAGAUGAAUAAAACAUUAUUCUUAAAGUCUUA